UACGUAGGGGGCGAGCGUUGUCCGGAUUUAUUGGGCGUAAAGAGCUCGUAGGCGGUUCGAUAAGUCGGAUGUGAAAUCUCCACGCUCAACGUGGAGGGGCCAUUCGAUACUGUCGUGACUCGAGUCCGGUAGGGGAGUGUGGAAUUCCCGGUGUAGCGGUGAAAUGCGUAGAUAUCGGGAGGAACAUCUGUGGCGAAGGCGACACCCUGGACCAGCACUGACACUGAGGCACGAAAGCGUGGGGAGCAAACAGG
rnacentral:rRNA from 1 species